UGCUCCUGGCAGCACCAAUCUACUUCAGAGAAGAUGGGCAUUGAGGAAUCUCCAUAUGGAGGUUACUUUUAUUGUGGCAAAAGUUAGCCUCACAUCGACUACUGACAGUAUGCUGUCCAAAUGGACAAGAAGGACACAAAAGAAAGGACUGCUGAUCCUUGCCAAGACAAGAACUUGCUGCCGCUUCCUGGGAAGGAUUCAUGCUCCCUGAGUUUUCAAUCAUUUCUCUUAAACUCUUGCCUGCUGCCCCUUAAAGGCUGCCAGCCUUCUCCCGUUGGACCUUCAGGACUCUCAGGCAAGAGAGCCUGGGAAGAGGAGAAGAGAAACCAGAACUGGAGGAGAACAUUGGUGGCUGAUGGAGGAGUGUCUCAAAGACCUUGGAAAGAAAGGAGUGGUCUGCCUUUGGAAAGAGACCUGAGAUGGAUAGGUGGGCUGGUCCCAAAUCAGACCACUCCCAAAAACAACAAACGAAGCCAACAGAACUGCCCCUGUGGACACUGGCUUCUCAUCGACCGGUCAGCGUUACUUUUGCAGUGGAGUGCUUCUGAGAGAGCAAUGCUUUUGGAGCAAAACAAAGCCUCCGCUUUGGAGUUCACAACACCAUCUUGACUGGAAUUCAUGCCAACAUGCCUAAAAUCUAUGAGUCAUACAGAGCUGCUGGAAGUUUCUAAAAGGAGUUCUUCUGAGAGCCUUAUAAAAAGAGAGACUGAGCAAGGAGAGGAAAAUUGGGAAGGUGGAUGACAAUCCAGCUUGCAGACCAAGAGAAUAUGAAGACACGGGACCCCAGAGGCUCAGAGCCUUGAGGGAUGUAUAAUUUAGAAUGUGCCCCUCCAAAAUUACAUGCUAGAAACUUAAUCCAAAAUGUAUCUGUUGACGGUGUUGUUUGGAGGGAUGGUCUUGGGGGGAUAAUUGGGGCUGGAUGACAUCAUUAGGGUAGCAUUAGUGGUUUUUUGUUUUGUUUUGUUUUAUUUUGUUUUAAGAUUUAUUUAUUUAUUAUGUAUACAGUGUUCUGCUUGCAUGUGUCCCUGCAGACCAGAAGAGGGCACCAGAUCUCAUUAUAGGUGGUUGUGAGCCACCAUGUGGUUGCUGGGAAUUGAACUCAGGACCUCUGGAAGAACAGUCAGUGCUCUUAACCUCUGAGCCAUCUCUCCAGCCCGCAUUAGUGAUUUUAUAAAAAGAUGAAGAGAGAGAGACUUGAACUAACACCCUUGUUUGGUCUCAUCAUGCUGUUGACUACCAUGAUGCUUCCAUCCAAGAAGAAGGCUUAGACUUCCCAGUCUGCAGAGCUUUGAGCCAAAUCAACAUUUAUCCUGACAUGGACAGCUUUGCAGGGUGAGCUGCAGGUAGACUUAUCUGAAAAUCAAUAACCGUCUGGCAAAAAGGCAGCAGAACAUGAGACCUAUGAACAAGAAAAAAUAAAUAAAACAAGUGAAACUCUCCAAGUACUUCACAAGCCAGAGUAGCAAAACAAAAGUGAGUUUAGACAUUUUUAGAUUGAGAUGAGGGUGAGAAGCUUUGUUUUAAAGGGAUCAAUUCCUACUUGCCCACCCUCUGUCAAAAAAUGCCAAGCCAACUAACAAAAACAAGACAAUAGUCGAUCUGCUUCAGUUAAGUGCAACUCAAACUUUCCUGGUCCUGGGACCUCCUCUCUCACCCUGGGACCCCCCCAAAGGAAAAAAUUUAAAAAAAAAUUUUUUUUUUUUAAGUUUUUCUCUGUCUCAUCAGCAUCCUGUCAGACACAAGCCAUGGAAAAUGAUGGACGGCUCCAAGGCAACAGAUGGCCCCAGGAUGCCUGUCUACCUCAGAAGCUCCCUUCCCUACGCCCCCAAGAGUCAACUGAUGUCCACCAAGUCAGCUGGAAGCAGGUUUUCGGGAGAAACCAUGCCCCUAUUCCUGUUCAUCCUCUUUUUCAUAAUAAGCAGAAAGUUCAGAAUGUUACAAUUCUUGGCCACUCCCCCAGCUGCAUGACCGCACAUGUGCAGUUCAGUAGCCAAGGAAGGGGUCUUACGUCAUCUGUGCGCUGUGCGCUGCGUGGUCACGUAAUCUGUGCACGUGUGGUGUAGCUCCAUAGGCCCACAUGCGCAUGUGCAGGGGAAUCCUUAAAAAAGCCAGACACAGACUCCUCCCCUCUCUUCUGCUCUCUCCUCCCCCCUCUCUCCCUUCUCAUGUGUCUCUUCCAACAGGCCUGGCCACGCUC